CAGUAGCCACGGUAAUACGAAGGGUGCAAGCGUUACUCGGAAUUACUGGGCGUAAAGCGUGCGUAGGUGGUGGUUUAAGUCCGUUGUGAAAGCCCUGGGCUCAACCUGGGAAUUGCAGUGGAUACUGGGUCACUAGAGUGUGGUAGAGGAUAGUGGAAUUUCCGGUGUAGCAGUGAAAUGCGUAGAGAUUGGAAGGAACAUCUGUGGCGAAGGCGACUAUCUGGGCCAACACUGACACUGAGGCACGAAAGCGUGGGGAGCAAACAGGAUUAGAUACCCCGGUAGUCCCUGUCUCUUAUAA
rnacentral:rRNA from 1 species